CUCCUACUUCCUCCGUUCGGAAUUACUUGUCGCAGAAAUGGAUGUAUCUAGAUGUAUUUUAGUUCUAGAUACAUUCAUUUUCAAGACAAGUAAUUCCGAACGGAGGGAGUACAUU
rnacentral:pre_miRNA from 1 species